GACGAACGCUGGCGGCGUGCCUAAUACAUGCAAGUAGGACGCAGUUGUGAACGGGUGAUUAACGCGUAGGUAACUGCCUAUUAGAGGGGGCUAACUAGUGGUAACUAUAGCUAAUACCCCCUACUAGUAGAUGGACCUGCGUUGUAUUAGCUAGUAGGUAGGGUAAUGGCCUACCUAGGCGACGAUACAUAGCCGACCUGGAGGGGGGAUCGGCAAAAAUUGGACUGAGAAACGGGCCAAAAUCCUACGGGAGGCGGGAAUAGGGAAUGUUCGGAAAGUGGGGGAACGCUUACCGAGCAACGCCGCGGGAGUGAAGAAGGUUGUCGGAUCGUAAAGCUCUGUUGUUAAGGAAGCGGUACUUAACCAGAAAGGGACGGCUAACUACGUGCCAGCAGCCGCGGUAAUUC
rnacentral:rRNA from 1 species